GACAGAGGGGCAAGCGUUGCUCGGAAUUACUGGGCGUAAAGGGCGCGUAGGCGGCUGUCUAAGUAGGGUGUGAAAGCCCCCGGCUCAACCGGGGAAUUGCGCCCUAAACUGGAUGGCUGGAGUGAGGCAGGGGUGUGUGGAACUUCCGGUGGAGCGGUGAAAUGUGUUGAGUAAUCGGAAGGAACGCCGGUGGCGAAAGCGAACAC
rnacentral:rRNA from 1 species